rnacentral:rRNA from 1 species
CAGUAGCCGCGGUAACACAGAGGGUGCGCGCGUUAAUCGGAUUUACUGGGCGUAAAGCGUGCGUAGGCGGCUUUUUAAGUCGGAUGUGAAAUCCCUGAGCUUAACUUAGGAAUUGCAUUCGAUACUGGGAAGCUAGAGUAUGGGAGAGGAUGGUAGAAUUCCAGGUGUAGCGGUGAAAUGCGUAGAGAUCUGGAGGAAUACCGAUGGCGAAGGCAGCCAUCUGGCCUAAUACUGACGCUGAGGUACGAAAGCAUGGGGAGCAAACAGGAUUAGAUACCCCCGUAGUCCCUGUCUCUUAUAA